UAGGGAAUCUUCGGCAAUGGGGGGAACCCUGACCGAGCAACGCCGCGUGAGUGAAGAAGGUUUUCGGAUCGUAAAGCUCUGUUGUUAAGGAAGAACGAGUGUGAGAAUGGAAAGUUCAUGCUGUGACGGUACUUAACCAGAAAGGGACGGCUAACUACGUGCCAUCAGCCGCGUUAAUACGUACGUCCCGAGCGUUGUCCGGAUUUAUUGGGCGUAAAGCGAGCGCAGGCGGUUAGAAAAGUCUGAAGUGAAAGGCAGUGGCUCAACCAUUGUAGGCUUUGGAAACUGUUUAACUUGAGUGCAGAAGGGGAGAGUGGAAUUCCAUGUGUAGCGGUGAAAUGCGUAGAUAUAUGGAGGAACACCGGUGGCGAAAGCGGCUCUCUGGUCUGUAACUGACGCUGAGGCUCGAAAGCGUGGGGAGCGAACAGG
rnacentral:rRNA from 1 species